CUGACAUGGAAAGGGGAUCUUCUUUAUUUAGAUUGUCUGGAGAGUGACUCUGAUGGGCCUUUUCCCAAUAUAUCUGACCUAGUAUAGACCAGUGGGCAAGUUAAGAAAGCAGUGGCUCUAGGACAGGGUAAAGAUAUAUGAGGUUCAGGACAGAUUGGAAAGUAUUUGACUUUGAAAUAUGAUACUGUGACCAGUGUAGUUGCCAGAGUGAUUCUGUUCUCAGCAAGACCAGGAAUUACUUCCUGGGGGGCAAAAUGGAAAUGGAAAAACUAAUAGGAAUCAGUCCUGUGGGAGAAAUAACGGGGAACAAAAGCCCUCAACCCAGUGGCUCUUGAAGCUAAGCCAAACCACCUUGGGGUCAAAUUGGAAGAUGCUAUGGGUAAGAUGUUAUAGCUACAAAGUUUUAAUGGAAGUUAAGCCACUCCAAGAAUGAAGAAAAGACUCUUGUUAGGUUUUGAUAACAAUGGUGAAUUUUGACUUAGACUGAACUUGAAAUGUGCUUAUUUUCUCACCAGUUCUGUGGCCCAUUUGCACAACAAGCAAAAAGACAAGAUAAACAACUUCUGUUUAGACUUUCCAAGGUCUUUUUCUCUGAAUGGCGUCUCAAGAACUCUGACUCCACGUCAUCCAGGAGUGAACCCAAACACUGGGGAUUCUUUCAACAUCCGAAAAGGGUCAUACGCCUUCAAUCCUGAGGUCAUCACUCCUCAAGAGAGGAUAAUCCCAGGGACAGCAGGAUCUGCUUCAUCACUUGGAUUUAGGAGUAAGGAACCCCUCAGGCAAAUAAACAGUAACGAUGACCCACCAUUUAGCACACUGAGAGAAGAGCAGGACAAGGAGUUGGUGCAAGAAGAAUCCAGAUGCACCUGCUGACAGUGCCUACCGGGUCGCAGAGUACUGUGAGCUCUGCCCAUUGAACUGAAGGGNNNNNNNNNNNNNNNNNNNNNNNGAGUGGAAAAUUCCCCCUCCCGAGACCCUUGGAUGUGGGUACAGUAACCGUGCAGACAGCAGUCAAUGCAUGAACUCAACAGACUGCAAAGAAACUAGACUAUGGAGUCAGGAUAGACCUGGGUCUCGCUGGGCACUGUGGUGCACACCUGGGGCUGAGGUAGGAGGAUCACAAGUUUGAGCUCAGCCUGUGCAACUUAGUGACUUAGUGAGACUCUGUUUCAAAAUAAAUAAACAAACAAACAAACAAAUAAAUAAAUAAAUAGUUUUUUAAAAGGUCUGCAGAUGUAACUCAGUGCAGAGGCCCUGAAUUCAAACCCCAAUACUAUGGGGGAGGGGGGUAGACCUGGGUUUGAAUUUAUUCUGCCACUUCUUUACAAAAUGCUUUGACUACACUUUAAAAGGCUCUGAGCCUUCCUCUUUCUUAUCUGAAAAAUGGAGCUAGUAGCUACAGAGAGACUUUGAAGAGGAGCAAUGCAACAGUGUUCAAAAAACGCAAGCUAGGUAAUUUCAUUUAUGGAAAAUGAGCAAGACAUGGGGCCAAGGAAGGAACCAAUACAACAAAAGGUCUCCUCAAAAUUUUUCUUGGCUCUAGGCACGCAACCUCAGAAUGCAUGCUCCUUUGGCCCAGAUACCAAGAGAAAGGGGGAGAGAAAGAAGUGGAAAAAGGCAAGAAGCCAGAUUCUGGCCCUUACAUAAGAAAAUUCAUUC
rnacentral:lncRNA from 1 species